rnacentral:rRNA from 1 species
GCCGGCACCUAAGUACCGCGGGGCACGUGGAACCCCGUGGGAAUCCGGGAGGACCAUCUUCCAAGGCUAAGUACUACCUGGCGACCGAUAGUGCACCAGUACCGUGAGGGAAAGGUGAAAAGAACCUCUGUUAGAGGAGUGAAAUAGAAUCUGAAACCUGAUGCCUACAAGCUGCGGGAGCCAGGCUUGCCUGGUGACCGCGUGCCUUUUGCAUAAUGAGUCAGCGAGUUAAUCUGUACAGCAAGGUUAAGCGUCAGCGUAGCCGCAGCGAAAGCGAGUCUGAACAGGGCGUCCAGUUGUGCGGAUUAGACCCGAAACCGGGUGAUCUAUCCAUGAGCAGGUUGAAGCAGGGGUAAAGCCUUGUGGAGGACCGAACCAGUUCUGGCUGAAAACAGUUUGGAUGACUUGUGGAUAGGGGUGAAAGGCCAAUCAAACCCGGUGAUAGCUGGUUCUCCCCGAAAUAUAUUGAGGUAUAGCCUCGCGGAUUGUCUUAUGGAGGUAAAGCACUGACAGAGCUAGGGGUCCUACCCGACUACCAACCUCUAUCAAACUCUGAAUACCAUCAAGAUGUACCGCGGGAGUCAGACGGCGGGUGCUAAGGUUCGUCGUCAAAAGGGCAACAGCCCAGACCGCCGGCUAAGGCCUCCAAAUGCAUGCUCAGUGGUUAAGGUGGUGGCGUUGUAGAGACACCCAGGACGUUGGCUUAGAAGCAGCCAUCGUUUAAAGAAAGCGUAAUAGCUCACUGGUCUAAUGACGCUGCGCCGAAAAUGUAACGGGGCUAAGCAUGCUGCCGAAGCCGCGGACUAGUCUUUGACUAUUGGUAGGGGAGCGUUCCCUGCGGGUUGAAGGUGCAUCGAAAGGUGUGCUGGACUUCAGGGAAGUGAUUAUGCUGACAUGAGUAACGAUAAAAUGUGCGAGAAACACAUUCGCCGUAAAUCCAAGGUUUCCUGGGUAAAGGUAAUCUUCCCAGGGUUAGUCGGUCCCUAAGGCCAGGCUGAAAGGCGUAGCUGAUGGGAAACGGGUUAACAGUCCCGUACUUGUAUGACCGCGCGAUGGAGGGACGAAGGACGGUAGGCAAUCCGGUCACUGGAUUCCGGUGCAAGCGCGUAGGCGUGCCCUGCAGGCAAAUCCGCAGGGCUGAGCUGAAACGCGAGUCCGAGGGGGCAACCCCGAAGUUGCCGAGCCGCUGCUUCCUAGAAAAGCUUCUAAGUAUAGGCCAUGCAAACCGUACCGCAAACCAACUCAGGUGGAUGGGAUGAAUAAUCCAAGGCGCUCGAGAGAACUCUGGCCAAGGAACUCGGCAAAAUAACCCCGUACCUUCGGAAUAAGGGGUGCUCCUGCUGGUGGCGUAACAGUUGCUGGCGGGAGCCGCAGAGAAAUGGUGGUGGCGACUGUUUACUAAAAACAUAGGUCUGUGCGAAGUCGCAAAGACGACGUAUACGGACUGACGCCUGCCCGGUGCCGGAAGGUUAAGAGGAGGAGUCAGCGCAAGCGAAGCCCCGAUUCGAAGCCCCGGUAAACGGCGGCCGUAACUAUAACGGUCCUAAGGUAGCGAAAUUCCUUGUCGGGCAAGUUCCGACCUGCACGAAUGGCGUAACGAUCUCCACGCUGUCUCGGCCAGAGACUCGGUGAAAUUGAAGUCGCGGUGAAAAUGCCGUGUACCCGCAGAAAGACGGAAAGACCCUGUGCACCUUUACUAUAGCUUGACAUUGGGUUUUGG